GCUGCGUUGUGGUUGCAUUGACUGACAGAAACCCAUGUUAGCCCUCAAUGACCCUAACACCAGCCCACCUACCACCAGUUUUCCCAAUACCACUUAUUGAAGAGACUGUCCUUGAACCAACUGUUCUUGGCACCUUGUUGAAGAUCAGAGAUAAUCAUAGAUCCAGUUGUUAACCUUUACCAGCAUACCAACAAUCCAAUAUAUCAGUGACAUGGUGAUUAAUAUAAAUUUUAACAAGAGAUUUCUCUAGAUGUUUCUUAUUUGUAUUAUCUAAAAACUUACCAAAGUGAUGGUGGUGGAUUUUCUCACAAAUGGCAAACCCUGGUGGCAGAAUUGAAGAAAAGGGAAACAGUGUUGCAGUGUAUUAAAGAAACUAGUUCCCCUGCUGCUCCCCACGAAGUUUGCUUCCCUGUGCUCCCUCAAUGGCCUCUAAGUUUCUCUCUCCUUCAAGAAUAUCCUUUUUGGCUAAUAUUCAUUGUAACA